AGGGCACCACCAGGAGUGGAGCCUGCGGCUUAAUUUGACUCAACACGGGAAAACUCACCCGGCCCGGACACUGGAAGGAUUGACAGAUUGAGAGCUCUUUCUUGAUUCAGUGGGUGGUGGUGCAUGGCCGUUCUUAGUUGGUGGAGUGAUUUGUCUGGUUAAUUCCGAUAACGAACGAGACUCUAGCCUACUAAAUAGAUCGUCGGCUUACAAACGCCGGCGAGACUUCUUAGAGGGACAGGCGGUGAUUCAACCGCACGAAACAGAGCAAUAACAGGUCUGUGAUGUCCUUAGAUGUCCGGGGCCGCACGCGCGCUACACUGAAGUGAUCAGCGUGCUUUUUCAACCUACUCUGUCAAGAGUGGGGAACCCAAUGAACCUUCUUCGUGAUUGGGAUAGGGGAUUGUAAUUAUUCCCCUUGAACGAGGAAUCCCCAGUAAGCGCGAGUCAUAAGCUCGCGUUGAUUACGUCCCUGCCCUUUGUACACACCGCCCGUCGCUACUACCGAUUGAACGAUUU
rnacentral:rRNA from 1 species